UGAUUCUGUGAUGACUCAUUUGCGUUCACCUGGAUGGUGGCUGUUGGACACACACUGUGCUGGUUCCUUGGUACUGUCCUUACACCUCUCAGCGGUUCACAUGCCAUCAGUUCACAACUGAACCAGCUGGAAGAAAAGCUUCAGAGAGAAAGAGGCAAAGGGAAAGAAGUCAACCUUCUUCCGUCUGGAAAAAAUAAACUGUUAGGUGGGUUAAAAAUUGUAUGGACCACCAGGAUCAAAGGGCCCAAGGUCCAUUUGGUUUACAACCUCGCAAGACUGACGGUUUUCCUAGGUCUUGGUUAA
rnacentral:lncRNA from 1 species